UAGGCCAGUGAAAGAUUGUUUGGUUAGAAUAGUUGAGUGUUUUGAUAAUGAGAAAGUGAUCGAGAGAAUGAAUAAUGAAGAGGGCAGUGUAGAAUUGGAACUAGACAGUGGUUCAAGGGAAAUUUGGGAAGAAUUCACUCCAAUUACAAGGCUAGCAAACCACGCAAAAUCAAAAGUCAAUGAAUUCAAGGAGAAAAAGAAGAAUGAGAUAAGGGAAUUGGAGAAUAG
rnacentral:misc_RNA from 1 species